GGGUCAGUAGGUUGGUCGUGCCACCGGUACGUACUGGUCUCACUGAUUCCUCCUUCCUGAAGAACCGUAAUGCCAUUAAUUUGGUGUUGCGGGGAAACAGGACUGUUACUUUGAAAAAAUUAGAGUGUUUAAAGCAAGCUAACGCUUGAAUACAUUAGCAUGGAAUAAUGAAAUAGGGCGAUCGAUCCUAUUUUGUUGGUUUCCAGGAUUGACGUA
rnacentral:rRNA from 1 species